rnacentral:rRNA from 1 species
AUGGCGCCUCCCCGCGGCGGAGCUGCUGCGGCCGCUCCCGCCGCACUGGACCUGACCGGCGUGCACAUUCUAGAAGCUUCCAGCGUCCCCCCGCUUCCCGAACGCGGCGGAAAUGCGGUCCAAAGGAAGGAGGCUGUUGACCCGGAUAAAGAUAGGAAGAAGGAGAAGGCUGCGGCACCGAGGAUCACCGGUUGGGGGCUCCGCGAGUACAGCAAAAUAGUUUGUGAGAAAGUUGAAGCCAAAGGAAGAACAACAUACAAUGAGGUUGCAGAUGAAAUUUAUUCAGAGCUGAAGUCCAUGGCACAUAUUGGUCAAGGGUUUGAUGAGAAGAACAUUAGGCGGAGAGUGUAUGAUGCUUUCAACGUUCUCAUUGCACUUCGUGUUAUUGCAAAAGAAAAAAAGGAGAUACGUUGGAUGGGCCUUUCAAAUUAUAGAUAUGAAAAGAUAAAGAAGCUGGAGGAAGUUCGCAAAGAACUCACCAACAAGAUUAGGAACAAGAAGGCACUCCUCCAGGAAAUCGAAAAACAGUUUGAUGAUCUCCAAAACAUCAAGUUACGUAACCAAACACUGGAAAGCUCAGCGGAGAAUGUUAAUGGCAUCCGCCUUCCAUUCGUACUGGUCAAGACAUCUAGGAAAGCAAGGGUGGAAAUUGAGAUUUCAGACGACUCAAAGUUUGCCCAUUUCGAGUUCAAUGGUGCACCAUUCACAUUGCAUGAUGAUCUCUCAAUCCUUGAGGGGAUAAGGCGUAACAGCAUAGGAAGAGCUGGCCGCGCCACCCUUCACUAG